AUUGAACGCUGGCGGCAGGCCUAACACAUGCAAGUCGAGCGGAUGAAGGGAGCUUGCUCCUGGAUUCAGCGGCGGACGGGUGAGUAAUGCCUAGGAAUCUGCCUGGUAGUGGGGGAUAACGUCCGGAAACGGGCGCUAAUACCGCAUACGUCCUGAGGGAGAAAGUGGGGGAUCUUCGGACCUCACGCUAUCAGAUGAGCCUAGGUCGGAUUAGCUAGUUGGUGGGGUAAAGGCCUACCAAGGCGACGAUCCGUAACUGGUUUGAGAGGAUGAUCAGUCACACUGGAGCUGAGACACGGUCCAGACUCCUACGGGAGGCAGCAGUGGGGAAUAUUGGACAAUGGGCGAAAGCCUGAUCCAGCCAUGCCGCGUGUGUGAAGAAGGUCUUCGGAUUGUAAAGCACUUUAAGUUGGGAGGAAGGGCAGUAAGUUAAUACCUUGCUGUUUUGACGUUACCAACAGAAUAAGCACCGGCUAACUUCGUG
rnacentral:rRNA from 1 species